GACGAACGCUGGCGGCGUGCUUAACACAUGCAAGUCGAACGGGAUCCAUGGGAGCUUGCUCCCGGAAGAUCUAGUGGCGAACGGGAGAGUAACACGUGAGGAACCUGCCCUUCACUGGGGAACAACUCGGGGAAACUCGAGCUAAUACCGCAUGCCUUCCACUGGUCGCAUGGCCGGCCGAAGCAAGAUUUCUCGGUGCUGGAGGGGCCCGCGGGCUAUCAGCUUGUUGGUGGGGUAACGGCCCGCCAAGGCAACGUCGGGUAGCUGGUCUGAGAGGACGAUCAGCCACACUGGAACUGAGACACGGUCCAGACUCCUACGGGAGGCAGCAGUGGGGAAUCUUGCGCAAUGGGCGAAAGCCUGACGCAGCAACGCCGCGUGCGGGAUGACAGCCUUCGUGGUUGUAAACCGCUUUCAGCAGGAACGAAAAUGACGGUACCUGCAGAAGAAGCUCCGGCUAACUACGUGCCAGCAGCCGCGGUAA
rnacentral:rRNA from 1 species